CAGCAGCCGCGGUAAUACGUAGGUGGCAAGCGUUGUCCGGAAUUAUUGGGCGUAAAGGGCUCGCGGGCGGUUUCUUAAGUCUGAUGUGAAAGCCCCCGGCUCAACCCGGGAGGGUCAUUGGAAAUUGGGAAACUUGAGUGCAGAAGAGGAGAGUGGAAUUCCACGUGUAGCGGUGAAAUGCGUAGAGAUGUGGAGGAACACCAGUGGCGAAGGCGACUCUCUGGUCUGUAACUGACGCUGAGGAGCGAAAGCGUGGGGAGCGAACAGGAUUAGAUACCCCCGUAGUCCCUGUCUCUUAUAC
rnacentral:rRNA from 1 species